rnacentral:misc_RNA from 1 species
GAUGAAGAACGUAGCGAAAUGCGAUAACUAAUGUGAAUUGCAGAAUUCCGUGAAUCAUCGAGUCUUUGAACGCACAUUGCGCCCCCUGGUAUUCCGGGGGGCAUGCCUGUCCGAGCGUCAUUGCAACCCUCAAGCACGGCUUGUCUAAUGGGCGGUUCGUCUGCGGCCAUCCGCCGGAGACGCCCCCGAAAUGCAGUGGGGAUGUUCGCUAAAUCGCAGCGUCAGGAAUGGAAAUAAACAAUGCGGACGGCUCGAUGUCGAACGUCCACCUAAGGCGUGCCGCCCCCCCGGGGUGUGCCGCCCAACCUCUCUCGGUUGACCUCGGAUCAGGUAGGGAUACCCGCUGAACUUAAGCAUAUCAAUAAGCGGAGGA